rnacentral:rRNA from 1 species
GUGCCAGCAGCCGCGGUAAUUCCAGCUCCAAUAGCGUAUAUUAAAGUUGUUGCAGUUAAAAAGCUCGUAGUUGGAUCUCAGGUCCAGGCUCGAGGUCCACCUCGCGGUGGUUACUUCCUGCCCUGACCCACCCUCCGGUUUUCCCUUGGUGCUCUUGAUUGAGUGUCUCGGGUGGCCAGAAUGUUUACUUUGAAAAAAUUAGAGUGUUCAAAGCAGGCGCUUAGCCUGAAUAAUGGUGCAUGGAAUAAUGGAACAGGACCUCGGUUCUAUUUUGUUGGUUUUCGGAAGUCGAGGUAAUGAUUAAGAGGGACAGACGGGGGCAUUCGUAUUACGG